CAAAAUGUUUUUUACAUUUAAAUUUUGAAGAUGCAAGAUAGAGAAUGAAAGAAAAAUGCCUUGAGUACAAAUUACAUGUUUGUCUUCUGUUCUCCACAAAAAUUUAAACUUUCUAGGUGCGAGCAAAAAAGAAGAAAAGCAGUGAAGAACGAGAAAAAGCAACAGAAAAAACAAAAAAGAAAAAGAAGCAUAAGAAACACAGUAAGAAGAAGAAAAAGAAGGCUGCUAGUUCAAGUCCUGACUCACCGUAACAUUAAGAAAAAUCAGGAUUCCCUUAUAAAGAAAGUGCAAUGUCUGAGGAAAUUUCAACUGUGAAAACUACAACAUAUUUACUAAAAUGCAUGAAUUUUCUUGUUUUUAGAAUUAUUCCUGGACUAUUCAGUAGCCACUCAGAUGCCACUGUGUGAAAGGGCCAUAAAUGUUGCCUGCUGCUUGAACAUCUAUUUUUUUCUCUUCCAGUGCUUGAUAACUCUGGGAGAUAAUACACUGCAGUCGUACUAGUGGUUAAGAUAUUUGGGAAUAAAAUUAAUACUUUUGACUAGAAGCGUCUAAGGAUAAACCAACAGAAAUUGAAUCUGGAUACAUCUUUAAGAUGUAAUCAGAAAUGACCAGAUGACUCUAGUUAGAAUUUUUGAAGGAGGGAUUACAUUAAUAUUUCAAAACCCUUACUCUGUAGAUAAGUGUAUUUUAAUUUUUUCCCCUCGUAUACUUUCAUUUACCUGGGGAAGGAGCUUUUAGGGUUGGGGGGUGGUUUGCUAUCUCUUUAGCUAGCAGAAUAGUGUGCCUUUGAUCCUCACACAUCCUGUAUUAUGGACACAGUAGCCAUGCUUCACGGGGAGGUCAGAGCUGGCUACCAGCAGUCUUGCCCUUUACUGAGCUUAGUGUCAUCUUUGGAUGCUGUCAUAUGCUGCUUUGAGUGAACCAGAGAAACAGCCAUUUGCAGCAUGAGAAAGCCCCAAAAGCUCUGGGAUUUACCUCCACUUUAGUAAUAAUGAAUAUUUUUUAGCAUUAGAAUGUGUUAUGUCAUUUGAAUUAAUUUUGACUACACUUUGGCUUGGGAGAGGAAUUAUUUUAAAUAGACAUUGGUACUUUUUGAACUUGAUAGCUAAAGAUUCUAAAAUGCAUGUUUUAUACUAAGUUUUAACCAGUCAGGAAAAUUUUAUGUAACUAGUGAUAGUUUAUUUUUUUGUAUGAAUUUUGUUUAGGCUGCAAUGUUUAGCUUUUGUUAACUCCUCACUCUUGCUGUCUUAAGUUCAUUACUAUGUUUAAUGGCCUACUUGCCAAGAUAUUUAGCAUGUAAAAAGCAGGGUUUUGAUUUUAAAAAAAAAACGGCUUCAUAUUGAAGCUGAGACUUACAAUAACAAGUUGAGUGGCAAGCCUGGUAUGCUGUGUCUUAUUGCCAGAAUCUUAGUAAAUGUAAUGUUUUAAAAGUUUGUUGUCUUUGUAUAUUAAUAACAAAUUAUGACAAGUUAAGUUUAAAUAAGAGUUACAUUAUUGCUCUCCCUGUGUCAUAUUUUACUAAGAUUUUGUGCCUCAUGUCUGCUGCUGAAUUGUUUACUAGGAAUGUUAAAAGGAAUUGAUAAUUCAUUUUCAUUUUACAUUUUUAUAUAAUCAGGUAACAUGACAUACAACUUGAUGUACAAUUUUGCCUGUUACAAAGGGUGUGCUAAUUAUAGUGGUAUAUGCACAGAACAUGUUGGCA
rnacentral:lncRNA from 1 species